UGAGGAUGUAGCUCAGUGGUACAGCACUUGCUUACCAUGUACAAGGCCUUGGGUUCAAUCCCCAGCACCGCAA
rnacentral:tRNA from 1 species